UACGUAGGUGGCAAGCGUUGUCCGGAUUUACUGGGCGUAAAGAGCGCGCAGGCGGUCGUUCAAGUCGCGUGUGAAAGCCCCCGGCUCAACUGGGGAGGGUCACGCGAUACUGAUCGACUCGAAGGCAGGAGAGGGUAGUGGAAUUCCCGGUGUAGCGGUGAAAUGCGCAGAUAUCAGGAGGAACACCAGCGGCGAAGGCGCUGCUCUGGGCCGGUACUGACGCUGAGGAGCGAAAGCGUGGGGAGCGAACAGG
rnacentral:rRNA from 1 species